UAAAGCUAUUAAUAGUUUGACACAUUGGGAAAUUAACUUAUUUUUCUUUAUCGGCAAGAGUUAGGUGACAAGAUAGAUACCACUCUAAUGUCUGUAUGUCUGUAUGCUAAAUAUGAAGCUAGAGCCAGAAGGUGGUUAGCUUCACUUAGCACAAAGACUGGAAACGGGGAAACAGCUAGCUCUGUCACAAGUCAUACCUCAGUGUGAGUGAAAGCAGUGAUGGGCAUCCCCGGGAUCCGGCUGUGCUCCAAGUGUCCAUGUCGCGGUGAAUCAAUGACCUGGUACAGGAAGUUCAUCCCUGAGAAGUGAUGAUUGGCGACCUUGAUGAUGUCAGAGGUCAGCGGCAGGGACGACCCCUCAUCAAGGAACAGAGUCGCUGGUGCUUCCUGUAGCCUGCUGAUGGUAGAUCACCAAUCCUUGGUUGACGUCCUCCUGGGUGAAGGAGUUUCUUGCCUGCUCUCUGGUGCCCUGCAUGGAGGAAUGGAGCAGACGAGCCAAUCAAGUCCUGUUUCUGUGUGAAUCCUGCGUGACAAUUUAAAGCUGAAAUGUGCAACUUUUGGGGCCAGUUAGGUUCUUACUUGAAGGUGAAAUAAUUUCACUUAUAGUGAAACUACAAUAAAUACCUGAUUAGGC